rfam:Danio rerio chromosome 4, GRCz11 reference primary assembly.
GACGAUGUGGCCGAGUGGGUAAAGCGAUGGACUGCGAAUCCAUUGUGCUCUGCAAGCGUGGGUUCGAAUCCCAUCCUCGUCG